GUGCUCGUUUGGGCAGCACGUAUAUUAAAAUUGGAACAAUACAGAGAAGAUUAGCAUGGCUCCUGCUCAAAGAUGACACACAAUUCAUGAAAUGUUCCAUAUUAAA